CCUACGGGGGGCAGCAGUGGGGAAUAGUCUACAAUGGACGAAAGUCUGAUAGUGCGACGCCGCGUGAACGAGGAAGCCCUUCGGGGUGUAAAGUUCUUUUAUAUGUGAGCAAUGCUUUAUAUGUGAAUAGCAUAUAGGGAGAGAUAUUAGCAUAUGAAUAAGCAACGGCUAACUCCGUGCCAGCAGCCGCGGUAACACGGGGGUUGCAAGCGUUGUCCGGAAUUACUAGGCGUAAAGGGCAGGUAGGCGGAUACAUAAGUUUGAUGUUAAAGGCAGCGGCUCACCCGCUGUACGGCAUUAGAUACUGUGUAUCUGGAAUGCGGUUGGGGAAGACAGAAUUCCUGGUGUAGCGGUGGAAUGCGCAGAGAUCAGGAGGAAUACCAAAGGCGAAGGCAGUCUUCUAAGCCGUAAUUGACGCUAAACUGCGAAGGUGUGGGUAUCAAACAGGCUUAGAUACCCUGGUAGUC
rnacentral:rRNA from 1 species